GUACUUACCUGGCAGAGGAGAUACCAUGAUCACGCAGGUGGUUUUCCCAGGGCGAGGCUCAACCAUUGCAGCUGGGAUGUGCCGACCUCUGCAAUUUCCCCAAACAUGGGAAACUCAACUGCAUAAUUUACGGUAGUGGGGGACUGUGUUUGCACUCUCCCCUG
ensembl:snRNA U1 U1 spliceosomal RNA